rnacentral:rRNA from 1 species
AUUGAACGCUGGCGGCAGGCUUAACACAUGCAAGUCGAGCGAGCGGCGGACGGGUGAGUAAUGUCUGGGAAACUGCCUGAUGGAGGGGGAUAACUACUGGAAACGGUAGCUAAUACCGCAUACCAUCAUAUGGCCCCAGGUGGGAUUAGCUAGUAGGUGGGGUAUGGGCUCAUCUAGGCGACGAUCCCUAGCUGGUCUGAGAGGAUGACCAGCCAAACUGGAACUGAGACACGGUACGGACUCCUACGGGAGUAAGCAGUGGGGAAUCUUGCACAAUGGGCGAAAGCCUGAUGCAGCAAUGCCGCGUGUGGGAAGAAGGCUUUCGGGUUGUAAAGCACUUUAAGCGAGGAGGCGUUACUCGCAGAGGAAGCAACGGCUAACUCCGUGCCAGCAGCCGCGGUAAUUC